ensembl:rRNA 5S_rRNA 5S ribosomal RNA
CAUCAUGGUUACUUCUUUGACCUGCGAGUUAUGUAGAAAUGUGUUUCCAAAUUUCUAAAUGUUAAGCUAAGCAGGGUCAGGCCUGGUUAGUACUUGGAUGGGAGACCACCUAGGAAGACCAGGUGCUGUAGGC